ACCGGAGUUUCGCGAAAACCGCAUUUUCAACGGUUGUGGAAACAAUACGAUUGGGCGAGUCCACGACGUAACGAACGCGCGUCUCCGCACGGGGAACGUUUGAAAAACGCCCGCGCGUAAUCCGCACGCGAAAUAUCGCGGUCGUCUUUUAUUUUGUUUGUUUUCUCCGCGCGCACGCCGUUCGCGAAUAAUCAAGUCGGCCGCACGGACCUAUCGUCCGCUACGACGGAAACACGAAAACGUCGAUGCGUUAUGCGUUUUUAAACGUCGAAUCCAUUACGCGUACAUUAGGGCGUUCGACGUCCUCCGAUAGCCGCGCGCCGUAACCCGUAUAUCGUUCGUAACGUUUUAUUUCGAACGU